CGGAAUGUAGCUCAGCCGGUUAGAGCGGUGGCCUUAUAAGCCAUGUGUCAUUGGUUCAAGUCCGAUCAUUCCGA
rnacentral:tRNA from 1 species